rnacentral:lncRNA from 1 species
CCGAAAAGCAAGUAGAGUGCAGGUGGACAGCAACCAGGCGGCUAGCCGCCUGUUCCAAGCGGCUAGCCGCUUGGUCACGGGUUUGUCUAAUUUCGUUUUGCUUCUUCUUCCUCUUUCGUGAGUUUUCUGCACAUGCUUUCUCUCUCACUCAAAACCGUGAGCAACCCAUCCAUUUUCACCUCCAUUUUCUUCCUUUUUUCAUCCAUUUUCAUGCCCAAAUCAACCAUUCAAACUAAUACCCAUGCAUUUCAUCUUCAUUAAACACUUCUCCAUCAUGAUUUCUUCACUUGUUCUUCAUCAUUCCAUCCUCAUUCCAUUCCCGCAUGAAUAGUGCUCUCCAUUUUCUUUCUCAAAUUUCUUCAUCUUUCACUCAUUUUCUUGUUAAAAUCAAUCAUCCAACUCAUUAUUCAUCCAUUACUCCUUCAAUUUUCACUCUCAAAACUUGAUUUCAUCAUCUCUCCACAUAAAACCCAAAAUCAAAAAUUCUCACUCUACCCGUUUCUCUCUCUUCAUUUUUCAAGCAUCCUUUAGCUCAUUUUUAAUCAUAAACUAGCUUCAUUCAUCUCUAGGAUUGAUUCUCUUGCCUCAAACAAAUCCGUUGUACUCAAACUUUGUUAAAACCCGAAAUUGCAUUUUUAAGCUCUUUUUUCUUCCAACAAUGGCGGGUGGUGACAAAUCCAAGGGGAAACACGUGGCCAAGAAGCGUAAAGAUGAUCAUGGAGAUUAUUCGGACUUUAUGUUGAUUCAUUUUCCUCGACUCCAACUUCGGAAAUAUUUUCUCGACCAUUUCAAACCAAGGACGGUAAUUACUCCUCAUUUUGUCAAUCUCAAUAAUAUGAAGAAUUUAGAAAUUUGUGAUAAUUCUCUUAAAGAUUUACUUAUUGCUAUGGGAUGGAAGAAUGUGUUGGUCGUUAAUGAUCCUUACUAUGCAAAUUUAGUCAAGGUUUUCUAUUCGAAUAUGGAUACGGAUGUGUCAAAUAGAAUUGUUACUAAUGUUGGGAGAAUUCACAUUGAAUUUGAUGUUGCUUUGCUAAAUUCUAUCCUUGGCACUCCAAAUGAGGGAUUGGAAAUAUAUCAAACAACCUUGGUUUUCUCUUGAAAAUGCCGUUCGAAAAAUUUGUCGACGACGUGAUUUGUCCACUGCAUUCUGUAACUCACCUUUGAAAUCUCAAGCCUUACCUCUUCAAACUCGAAUCCUUCAUUAUGUUCUCCAUCAUGUGAUUACUCCUAGGGGGGGUCAUGCGGAUGAAGUUAGUCGUUUAGAUGUAGCCAUUUUGGACUGCAUUCUAGAGGAGAGGGUGCUAAAUAUUGGGUAUAUUAUUCUUAAUCAUAUGCUUAGUACUGCCAAUUUAGCCAAAAGAUCCCUUCCAUAUGCUAGUAUUAUUACUCAAAUUCUAGAGUAUUUCCAUGUCCCUAUAACCGAGUCAAUCUCCUCGAAUUCGAGGGAAUUAGGCGAUGAUUCAAUCGCUAAUCUGGGAUUUUAUUGGAGGGAUGAUAGCUGGCAUAAAGAUCAAAGAACCAAAAAGGUUACGGACCUUGCUCCUUCAGAUCAUCGUUUCUUUAACAAUGUCCGUCCCCCACACUUGCUUCGUGAUCUUAGUGCUCCAUAUCUCUCACAUCCUCCACCUUCCGAGGGUCCUUCCCACUCUACUUCAGCUGACUCUGAGGAGAGCGUCUCUUUGCUCCAGUCUAUGCUUGAAGCUUUUCAACUUCAGUCCAUUUCCGAGCGAGAGCGUCUCUUUGCUCAACAGCAGCAGCUUCUUGAUGGCCAGCAGCAACUUUUUGCAGCCCUUGGAUUUCCACCCCCAUCCUCUUCCUCACAUCCACCAUCUCCUUAGUACUUUAUUUUAUUUUGUUAUUUGUCACUCUGCACUACAUUUAUUCAUGCAUUGUUGUUUUUUCAUUUGCGGAUUAUAUCUUGUUAUUUGAUCUUCGGAAAUGUUAUAUUUGGAUGAUGUUUUAUGCUUAAUUCUUAUGUGUUGCUUGAUGACUUGGUGGAGUUGUUGGUUUGUUAUACUUAAGCUUAUAUGGAAGUGUUUUUAAUUACAUUGUGUAUUUGAGGAUUUGUUCAUUUUUAAGGGGAGACUCUGCCGAAAUUUUUGCUCGCACACAAUUGGUAAUAUCUUUCUUGAAUCAUUUUUUAUGAUCUUGUUUUCAAUUGCAUGUUUCUAUUUUUUUUAAGAGGGUAAUAAACAUGAUGAGUUUUUUAUAAUGAUAUUUUGGUUAAAUAUUUUCAGUCUUAGCAUGAAUUACUAGUAAUUUUGAUGAUGAAGGGGGAGAAGUCAUGUAUUUUGAAUAUAAAGACAUGUAAUACAUAUUUUUUGUAUUUCAAGCAUUUAUGCAUGUUUUUGAAAUAUUAAGGGGGAGCUUUCAAAUUAUCAUAAAUCAAAUAUUCAGGGGGAGUUUUUGAUUUAUAUGUUUAAUCAUGUAUGCCAUGUAUUAAGGGGGAGUUUAAUAUCAAAAUACAUGAGAUGUUUGUCAUCAUCAAAAAGGGGGAGAUUGUUAGCCUAAAGGGCUACACAUAAUGUAAUUUUGAUGAUAACAAACAUGUGUCUUAAGUAACAAUAAUAAAUAUUGUAUUUCACAUUUACACUAGUUUUUUAAGGAUAAUAUUUAUGCAAGUGAAUCAAGUGAAAUCAAGAUUGAAGACACUCAACGGACAACGGCGAAAUCAAGAAUAAAGCUUAGAGCUCAACGGACGAAUUAUUGCGACAAAUUCUUGUAAAGCCGGUAUGAUUUAAUUGAUGCAUGAUUUAGCAUUUGAGAAGCUCAAGAGAUUAAUUUAAUUAAAUACUUUUCAUAAACUAAAAUAUUUUAUUUUUAUAAAGUAAAGUAUUUUGUGGAUUUGAGUAAACUGGACUUAAAUGUUAAGAUUUGAAAUCUUUGAUUUUAAUAAGUAUCAAAUUUCGGAGUUGGAUGUUUUUACAAAUAUUUUAAAUGUUUUGGGCCAUACUAUAAUUUAUGAAUAUUUUGAACUAAAGUGAAAGGUUUUGAGAACUUUGAAAAAUAUGGGUAUUAUGUUGAAAAGGACCUUUGUGCGAAACAAUAAAAUCUUUGGGGCUAUAUCAUAAUUUUAGGAAGUUUGGGAAAGAAAAUUAUUUUUGGGAAGUUCUGAAAUUGGACAUAUUUGUAAAGUUUUCUGACGUUUUGGGCCAUAGUAUAAUUAUAGAAAGUUUUGGGCUAAAGUGUAAUUUCAAUGAACAAUGUUACUGUAGCAAAUUCAAAAAUAACGGUAAUAUUACUGUUCUUGAGCGGCUAGCCGGAUAAAUCAAGCGGCUAACCGCUUGAGCGCUGGAAUUUGCCUAUAACGGCUAGUUUUUGGCCUUCCACUAUAAAAACUCAACUCAAACUUCAUUUUAAGCACCAAUACACGCAAAUAUAAGAUCAUACAACAUAUAUUGAGCUUCCAAAACGCAAAUCAUUAUUGAUUGAAUCAUUGUUGAGCUAUUAGUUGCAUAUCAACUCUUAAAGAGAGUUUUUGUUGUAAUUUUCAUUCCUUAUCAAAUUGUGAGUGUUUAAGUGUGGGAAACACUUGGGGUGAAGAGAUUGGGGAGAUAAUCUCUUGGUUGUAAAGGUUCAUUGACACCUUGGAAGUCAAUUGUAAAAACUUGAAGCCUUGGGAGGCUUAGAUAGUGAAAUCCUCGAGCUCGGUUGGCUUGGAGGCGUGGACGUAGGCGGGGAUUGCCGAACCACGUAAAAAUCUGCGUGUUUGUUUUUCUCUUCCCUUGCUCUUUUAUUUUUACGCUUACUUGAAUUUAUUGUUCUCUAUUUCAUUAAGACGUUAGAUUGAUUUAUUGUGCGAAUCGUAUUGCAUUAAUUUUAAAAACCCAAUUCACCCCCCUCUUGGGUUGCGUUACUUGCAUUUCAGACUUUGUAUAGGUAAAGAGUGAUGUGGAGGUUCUGGAAUAUUUUGCAUAGGUUCAACAAUUAUUGGACAUGUAUGAGAAAUUGUCCUGUUAUUUAUGGUAGCUUGUUGUGAAUUCUAAUCAGUUGCUGUCUGUUCUGGAUGAUCUGAGUGACUUGAACUGCUGCUUCCAGAUCUUACAGAGUUCAGAUUACCAAUGCUGUUAUUGACAGACAAAGAAGAGAUAUGAUGGAUUUGCUGUGGUGUAAGGGAAUGAGAAGUUUGAGAACCAGCUUUAGCAUGACUAUGAAAAAUAGACUCAGUGGUAUAAGGAAAAACUGAUUCAUCAAAGGUAACAUGUCUUGCCACAUAGACUUGACCUAAGGAGUGUAAACAUUUGUAGCCCUUAUGUGAAGGACUGUAACCAAUGAAUAUGCACUUACUAGAAUGGUAGGCAAAUUUAUGUUUGUUGUAAUCUCUCAAGUAAGGAUAACAAGCACACCCAAAACAUCUGAGAAAAUCAUAAUCAGGUUUGUGUUUGAAUGUCUUUUCAUAUGGGGUUAAAAGUUGCAAAACAGGAGAUGGAAG